UCAUGCUAGGAAUCCUCUGAGA
rnacentral:miRNA from 1 species